rnacentral:rRNA from 1 species
UACGGAGGGGGCUAGCGUUGUUCGGAAUUACUGGGCGUAAAGCGCACGUAGGCGGAUUGACAAGUCAGGGGUGAAAUCCCGGGGCUCAACCUCGGAACUGCCUUUGAUACUGUCAGUCUAGAGUCCGGAAGAGGUGGGUGGAAUUCCUAGUGUAGAGGUGAAAUUCGCAGAUAUUAGGAAGAACACCGGUGGCGAAGGCGGCCCACUGGUCCGGAACUGACGCUGAGGUGCGAAAGCGUGGGGAGCAAACAGG